rnacentral:rRNA from 1 species
UAGGGAAUCUUCCACAAUGGACGAAAGUCUGAUGGAGCAACGCCGCGUGAGUGAAGAAGGUUUUCGGAUCGUAAAGCUCUGUUGUUGGUGAAGAAGGAUAGAGGCAGUAACUGGUCUUUAUUUGACGGUAAUCAACCAGAAAGUCACGGCUAACUACUUGUCAG